rnacentral:rRNA from 1 species
UACGGAGGGGGCUAGCGUUGUUCGGAAUUACUGGGCGUAAAGCGCGCGUAGGCGGCUUUGUAAGUUAGAGGUGAAAGCCCGAAGCUCAACUUCGGAAUUGCCUUUAAGACUGCAUCGCUAGAAUUGUGGAGAGGAAAGUGGAAUUCCGAGUGUAGAGGUGAAAUUCGUAGAUAUUCGGAAGAACACCAGUGGCGAAGGCGACUUACUGGACACAUAUUGACGCUGAGGUGCGAAAGCGUGGGGAGCAAACAGG